rnacentral:rRNA from 1 species
AUACGGAGGAUCCGAGCGUUAUCCGGAUUUAUUGGGUUUAAAGGGAGCGUAGGCGGACGCUUAAGUCAGUUGUGAAAGUUUGCGGCUCAACCGUAAAAUUGCAGUUGAUACUGGGUGUCUUGAGUACAGUAGAGGCAGGCGGAAUUCGUGGUGUAGCGGGGAGAUGCUUAGAUAUCACGAAGAACUCCGAUUGCGAAGGCAGCCUGCUGGACUGUAACUGACGCUGAUGCUCGAAAGUGUGGGUAUCAAACAGGAUUAGAUACCCUGGUAGUCCACACAGUAAACGAUGAAUACUCGCUGUUUGCGAUAUACAGUAAGCGGCCAAGCGAAAGCGUUAAGUAUUCCACCUGGGGAGUACGCCGGCAACGGUGAAACUCAAAGGAAUUGACGGGG